rnacentral:rRNA from 1 species
UACGUAGGUGGCAAGCGUUAUCCGGAUUUACUGGGCGUAAAGAGCGUGUAGGCGGGGAAGCAAGUCAGAUGUGAAAACCACGGGCUCAACCUGUGGCCUGCAUUUGAAACUGUUUUUCUUGAGUGCUGGAGAGGCAAUCGGAAUUCCGUGUGUAGCGGUGAAAUGCGUAGAUAUACGGAGGAACACCAGUGGCGAAGGCGGAUUGCUGGACAGUAACUGACGCUGAGGCGCGAAAGCGUGGGGAGCAAACAGG